rnacentral:rRNA from 1 species
CCUCGGCGGACGGCUCAGUAACACGUGGGUAAUCUACCCUCAGGACAGGGAUAACCCCGGGAAACUGGGGAUAAUACCUGAUAGGUGGAGAGGUCUGGAAUGAUUCUUCACUUAAAGCUCCGGUGCCUGAGGAUGAGCCUGCGCCUGAUUAGGUUGUUGGCGGUGUAAUGGACCACCAAGCCGAAGAUCGGUACGGGCACUGAGAGGUGUAGCCCGGAGAUGGAGACUGAGACACGGCUCCAGGCCCUACGGGGCGCAGCAGGCGCGAAAACUCCGCAAUGCGCGCAAGCGUGACGGGGGGACUCCAAGUGCGUUCGCGUUUAGCGAGUGCUUUUGCAGAGUGUAAAUAGCUCUGCGAAUAAGAGCGGGGUAAGACCGGUGCCAGCCGCCGCGGUAACACCGGCCGCUCAAGUGGUGACCACUAUUAUUGGGCCUAAAGCGUUCGUAGCCGGUUCGUUAAGUCCUUGGGUAAAUCCAUUCGUUUAACGAAUGGAAUUCUGAGGAUACUGCCGAACUUGGGGGCGAGAGAAGUCAGAGGUACUUCAGGGGUAGCGGUGAAAUGCUGUAAUCCUUGAGGGACCACCAGUGGCGAAAGCGUCUGACUAGAGCGCGCCCGACGGUGAGGGACGAAAGCCAGGGGAGCGAACGGGAUUAGAUACCCCGGUAGUCCUGGCCGUAAACGCUGCAUGCUAGGUGUUGCAUGCUCUAC